GAGGGUAGAGCUCAGUUGGUAGAGUGCUUGCUUAGCAUGUGCAAGAUCCUGGGUUCGAUCCCCAGUACCUCCC
rnacentral:tRNA from 1 species